rnacentral:rRNA from 11 species
GCUAAUGACCUAAAUGCCCUACAGGCACCAGAUCCGGCCUGAUUUUGCAAGCAAGCAGGGUCAGACCUGGCUACUACUUGGAAGGGAGACUGACAAUGAAUAUCAUGUGCUGUAGGCU